GCAUAUCAAUAAGCGGAGGAAAAGAAACCAACAGGGAUUGCCUUAGUAACGGCGAGUGAAGCGGCAACAGCUCAAAUUUGAAAGCUGGCUCCUUCGGAGUCCGCAUUGUAAUUUGUAGAGGAUGAUUCGGCGAGGGCUCCCGCCUAAGUCCACUGGAACGUGGCGUCAUAGAGGGUGAGAAUCCCGUAUGCGGUGGGUUGCCUUAGCCAUGUGAAUCUCCUUCGACGAGUCGAGUUGUUUGGGAAUGCAGCUCUAAAUGGGAGGUAAAUUUCUUCUAAAGCUAAAUACCGGCCAGAGACCGAUAGCGCACAAGUAGAGUGAUCGAAAGAUGAAAAGCACUUUGGAAAGAGAGUUAAAAAGUACGUGAAAUUGUUGAAAGGGAAGGGCUUGCAACCAGACUUGUCCGCAGUUGCUCAGCCGGUCUCCUGACCGGCGUACUCUUCUGCGGCCAGGCCAGCAUCAGUUCGGGCGGUCGGAUAAAGACCUAGGGAAUGUAGCUCCUCUCGGGGAGUGUUAUAGCCCUGGGUGGAAUGCGGCCAGCCUGGACUGAGGAUCUCGCUUCGGCUAGGAUGCUGGCGUAAUGGUUGUAAGCCGCCCGUCUUGAAACACGGACCAAGGAGUCUAACAUCUAUGCGAGUGUUUGGGUGUCAAACCCAUACGCGUAAUGAAAGUGAACGGAGGUGGGAACCCGCAAGGGCGCACCAUCGGCCGAUCCUGAUGUCUUCGGAUGGAUUUGAGCAAGAGCAUAGCUGUUGGGACCCGAAAGAUGGUGAACUAUGCCUGAAUAGGGUGAAGCCAGAGGAAACUCUGGUGGAGGCUCGCAGCGGUUCUGACGUGCAAAUCGAUCGUCAAAUUUGGGUAUAGGGGCGAAAGACUAAUCGAA
rnacentral:rRNA from 1 species